UCACCUUGCAGUUCAGACACUGCUCCCUCUCUGCAGUCCUCUCUCUCUCUUCUAUUUUCCUCCUCUCUUUGGUCCUUCGCAAUUCCCCCCACCUAUCUGGUCACUUUCUUUUCUUAUCUGUCAUCCACCCCUUGUUUUACUUUAUCAAUAUGUACCGGAACCCUUGGAUCUCCAACUAUAUCAACCAUGUCAAGUUGUGCCAAGGCUUCACAGGAGAAACAGCCCCUAAAGUUGGCAAUACCAAACUACAACGGAGAGCUCUUAGCUUCCAGAAAGAGUUUUCGCUUGAGGAGAAAGAAGAGGGAAUCAACAAAGAAUUAGAUGUCAGUCUGCUGGGAAACACACCCAAGGUCUCAGAAUUAAGGAAGCGUUUUGAGAGUAUAAGCACGAGUCAGAGUUGGGACAUGAACAGGAAAGAGCGAAUUGCACGGCGUCUGGAGGGAAUCGAUAGUGAAGUUCUCCAAAAUAUCCCAGGUUGUGGCGGUCUAGUAACCAAUCGACUGCUAGAGGAGGACACCCCAAGAUAUACCCGUGCAGCAGACACCUGUGACCCCUGUACAGUUUCUCUUCAGCACUAUGGCAAAAAUGACCCAAACUUCCCCAAUCCGCACAGUGCAGAGGUUCAGUCCAGAACCCACAUGGUACAACCGGAGUCUGUCUACACCACUGGCUCCACUCAUGUGGCAGAGCCGGACUCUAAAGCUGAAAGGAUUGCUCGCUACAAGGCAGAACGGCGCCGUCAACUAGCAGAGCGCUAUGGCAUCUCUCUGGAUCAGGAGACAGAAACCGACUAUACCGCUCGCUACUCCAGAACCUCCAGAGAGCCCGAAGGCUCCGACCAACAACACAGGUCAAAGGUAGAAGGAGGAGACAGGGUGGAGCAUAAUGCUUACACCACCAGCCAUCAUGUAGAUAGGGCUAGCUCUCACAUUCACACCGAUCCAGAGUACUGCCGAGAACGCACAGACUCCAUCUCUGAGCGCGAGAGGAUGAUGAAUCUGGAGAACCAGAGGAGGGCACAAGAGCGGGAUAGAUUGCAUGGAAGUGGAGGGGUUGCACCUGACCCAUCUGCAUAUAUGGAUGUGUCAGGGUCUGCCAGGGUUCCAGGGAGGGAACCAGGAGCGAUGGGGGUUCCCAGUUCGCCUAAUACAGGCCGAAAGGCCAUGAUGCCAUCUCCCAAACAGGGAGCAUCUCCUGGUGAUCUGUUUAUUGAGCAGCAGGCUCACAACAUCCUUCAAAGACACGGCUCCCGUAGCCAGUCAGCCAACCAAUGGUCACUUCAGACUGAUUCAGAAGGAGACACCCUCUCUCCAAUCAACUGGCCUUCCAGAAUCCGAGUUAGGGAGAAACUGGCCCGUGACGAGCCAUUUCACAGGGGUCAUACAACAGAGGUACCUGCGUACAACCAGUUUCCCCAGUCAUACCCUCGCUAUCACCCUCACAAUCGGACCCUCGCUGAGGCUCCAGCCAAACAGCGGCUGACCCACCCUGGACAAGAGGAACGCCAUGACCUGGGGUGCCAGAGCUACUUUUCUAUGGGUAGCGAAUCUGGUUCCAGGCAUAAACAAGAGUUUCAGGAAGUACUUGAAAUAGAGGGAAAACAGGAUGUGAGGACAGAGGGGCUACUGCGGAGCAGGAAGGCCGUUUUACCCUCUGAGGUUCGACGGAAAGAACGGAGCACGGAAGACCCGUGCCGUGGAAGUGCUGACAACGUGGAGAUAAACCCAGGCAUCAGGAGCGAGGGUGCUGCAGAUGACCCCAGAGGGUGGCGUGGAGGUCGGUCAAGGCGGGAAGUUUACACAGAGCAUGUGUCCCGUCUUCAGGCCACAGAGUCUAUGCAAGCAAGAGCUCGAGAGGCCCAUAAAAGGGCUGACGCUAUCUGCUACGCCCCAGUUCAGACCUCGAGUGGGAGAUAUAUGCCAAAUUCAUCCAAACCCCUGGAUGUUGGAAAUGUCCAAAAGACAGUUUUUCAACAGAACCCUAUCCAGGACCCAGUCAGAGAGGCUGUGCCCAAUGGCGAUCACCCAUCCCAUGAUGCCAGGGUUUCAGUAGCCCAACUCCGCCACACCUACCUGGAAAGUGUUGCGAGUCCCCGGAAAGCCGAGCUGUCUUGCCUAAGCCCUGAACCACAGAGCCCUGAGGUGGAUGAAGAGAAGCUAGAUGAGAGAGCAAAACUGAGUGUAGCUGCCAAGCGCUCUCUCUUCAGGGAGCUGGAGAAGACUUCAGAUGGUUCAGUUCUGAAGGUAUGGAGCCGUAAUCCUGCCGUUGAAAGGAGGUUGAGGAGAGGUCAGGAUCGCUCCCGCACUCAGCCAGUCACCUCAGAGGAAGUGGUCAUUGCUGCUACUGUCCCUGGCCACCCUGGCCAAACCUCUGUAGCACGUGUUCCUAGUCACACUGUAGUCAACAGCUCUGUGACCAAAUUCAGCUUGCAGGCAUCGUCUCAGCAAAAGUCCAUGGUGAGGGAGCAGGCCAGAGAGGUUCGGCUGGCUGAGGAGGGAGCGGAGACGGAUCGGGCUCACCAUGCAUCUCCAGGGGAGGAUGGCCAAGAGGAGCCAGACCUUUCCACGCUCACUCUGGCAGAGAAGAUGGCACUCUUCAAUCGCCUAGCACAGCCAUCCAGCCAUGGCCCUCGGGCCAGAGGAGACACUCGUGCACGCAGAAGUAACACCCGGUACCAGACUCAGCCAAUCACACUUGGAGAGGUUGAACAGCUGCAGCCUGCGGGUGGAGCUCGUUUUGCGUCCACCUCUUCCUCAGCCCUGAGAUCCUCCACUGUUUCCACUGAACAUGCUGGGGACAUCCACUUGACCAUGUCCAGUGUAUCUGGCCCUGCCUACUAUGAGCAGACCCUCUCCCCACCUCACCACCCUCAACCUGCCCAAGAGAUCCAGACACACCAGAGCCCAGAUGUGUCCCCGGCGACCCAAGGAGAGAAGCUGGUAUUGAGCAUGGGGAAGAGGAAGCUACCCUCUCCAGAGAGCAUGAAACAGACACCACACGCUCAGCCGGCCAGAGACUGGGAGGAGCUUAAAGGGCACAAUAAGGCUCUGGUGACCCCUCAAGACCUUUCAGAAACAGAUGGAGAGCACAAGUCAAAGGCAGCCAUGUCAGAUCUUCCUGUGCACACAGCCACAGUACGUGCCACGGCAGCUGUAUCACACAGCUUAUCCUCAUUACAGAGCGGCUCUCUUGCACAACACGCGCACGCACAGACACACGCAGUGUCAGCCGGACACCUUCUAGAGGACGACAGGAGAGAAGAGGAGCAGGAGACGGACUUUAAAACAGAGGAAGGAGAAAAACUCUCAGACAUCAUGUCUGCCAGGCAGAUGUCCAUCAAAGAGAGACUGGCUCUCUUGAAGAAGAGUGGAGAGGAAGACUGGAGGAACAGGAUAAAUAAAAAACAGGAUGUGGUGCAGGUUGCUGUGUCUGAAAGACACGCCCAGCUAUGGGAAGUGGAGCAGAGCUUCAAGAAGGAUGAUGGGAUGAUAGAUGACUUUGCUGUGUCUGAUCAACUCUGGGAUCCUGUCUUUUCCUCCUCCUUUUCAUGUGCAUCUGAACCACUGGAUCAAAUAGCAAUCCUCCCCAAGGCUACCCCCCUGCCCGUGCAGGUGGAUGAGCGUCACCCCUGGAGACGGAAGAGGAUGGGAAGUGAGGUUGCGGAGAGCCAGCGGAUUGAUCGAGUAGAGAUGUCUAUUCAGGAACGCAUGAAACUCAUCACCGCACAAGAGGAUGCGUGGAAGGUCAAAGGUUACAGAGCAGCCAAUGACUCCACUCAGUUUACAGUGGCUGGCCGUAUGGUUAAAAAAGGCUUGGCAGCCCCUUCUGUUCUCACAAAUCCAGUGCAGUCCCCUCUGUCCUCUAAAAACAAGAAUGCCUCCCAUACAAUCUCAAAGCCACACGAAGAGAUUGAAGUCAGACAAGACAUGAAGCUGGAGUCAGAUAAGAAGCUGGAAAAGUUGGAGUCAUUCCUUGGUCGUCUCAAUGGUAAAGUUUCAGGACUUCAGGAGGCCACAAUUGCAGUCACAGAGAAGUCUGUUAAAGAGGUCAUGACUCUGGAUGAUGAGACCUUCGAUAAGUUUUAUCGACACACAGAGGAUAUAGCCAAGAUUACCAGCAGAGUGGAAAUCAACGAUGAUUUUGAUGACAUCUUUGGAGUGGAGCUGCCCAGGUUGACCUCAGAGAUGGUGCAACACAAGCGGGCGGUACGGCCCAACAGAAACGUGCAGUCAUCCAGAAACCCUCUGAAAAUGCUGGCUGUUCGGGAGGACAUAAGACACGAAUACACAGAGCAGAGGCUAAACAUCGGCCUUCUGGAGAGCAAGAGGAUGAAACAGGAAAAGAUGAAUAAGAACAGCGGUUUCUCUGAGGUUGCUCUUGCUGGGUUGGCCAGUAAGGAAAACUUCAGCAGUGUGAGUCUGCGAAGUGUGAAUGCCUCUGAGCAGAGCUCCAACAACAGUGCCAUGCCCUAUAAAAAACUCAUGCUCAUACAGGUCAAAGGUCGUCGGCACGUUCAGACCAGACUGGUUGAGCCCAGAGCUUCCUCUUUGAACAGUGGUGACUGCUUCCUCUUGAUCACACCCCAUCAUUGCUUCAUCUGGAUUGGAGAAUUUGCAAAUGUUAUCGAGAAGGCCAAAGCUGCAGAGUUGGCCACAUUCGUUCAGACCAAGCAUGACCUGGGAUGCAGAGCCUCAUAUGUGCAGACAAUUGAGGAAGGUGCCAACACUCACACUCAUGCUGCCAAAGAGUUUUGGAAGAUUCUCGGCGGCCAAGCCAAUUAUCAAGCUGCUGGCACUCCUGAGGAAGAUGAGUUCUAUGAGACUGCUGUCGUAGAAACCAACUGCAUCUAUAGGCUCAUGGAGGACAAACUUGUUCCUGAUGAUGACUACUGGGGUCGAGUCCCUCGCUGCUCCAUGCUUAACUCUAAAGAAGUGCUGGUGUUUGAUUUUGGUAGCGAGGUCUACGUAUGGCAUGGUAAGGAGGUGACGCUGGCACAGAGAAAAGUGGCUUUUCAGCUGGCAAAGCACCUGUGGAAUGGCACCUUUGACUACACCAACUGUGAUAUUAAUCCUCUGGACCCUGGAGAGUGCAACGCACUUAUACCCAGGAAAGGCCAGGGACGACCAGACUGGGCUGUGUUUGGCAGGUUAACUCAGCACAAUGAGACUACUCUUUUUAAAGAGAAGUUUUUGGACUGGAGUGACACCAAGAAAUCCUCUAAGAAGAAUGGUGACUCACAUGUUGUUGAAAACAAGGAUCUUCGGAGCGGGGAAUGUCGGCCCUAUGAUGCGUCACUGAUGUUGUCAACAGUACGGACACCAGUCAAGACCGUUCUGGAUGGAGUCAAUGUCGGACGAGGUUAUGGACUGGUGGAAGGUGAUGAGGGGCGUAAUUUUGAGAUCAGCACAUUGUCUGUUGAUGUCUGGCACAUUCUAGAGUUUGACUACAGUCGAUUACCUAAACAGAGCAUUGGUCAGUUCCAUGAAGGGGACACAUACGUUGUCAAAUGGAAGUAUAUGAUCAGCACAGCUGUUGGCAAGAGGCUGCAUUCAGAACGGGUCAUCGGUCCAGGGAAAGAGAAAUGUUCUUAUUUCUUCUGGCAAGGUCGUAACUCCACGGUGAAUGAGAAGGGAACAUCAGCACUGAUGACUGUAGAGCUGGAUGAGGAGAGAGGUGCUCAGGUCCAGGUACAGCAGGGAAAGGAGCCGCCUUGUUUCCUACAGUGCUUCAAUGGAGGAAUGAUUGUUCAUGCUGGAAAGAGAGAAGAGGAGGAAGAAAAUUUACAAAAUGACUGGCGCUUAUACUGUGUGAGAGGAGAGAAACCCAUAGAGGGCCAUCUGCUGGAGGUGGUGUGCCACUGCAGCAGCCUACGGUCUCGCACCUCUUUGAUCCUCCUGAACAUCCCUAAAGCCAGCAUGUACCUGUGGCACGGCUGCAAGGCACAGACGCACACACGUGAUGUGGGCCGUACCGCUGCAAACAAAAUCAAAGAGCAGUGUCCUCUGGAGGCGGGGCUUCACAGCAGCAGUAAAGUGUCCAUCCAGGAGUGUGAUGAGGGAGCUGAACCACAAGGCUUCUGGGAGGCCUUGGGAAGGAGAGAUCGAAAGGCGUAUGACUGCAUGCUGCAGGAUCCGGGAAAGUUCAACUUCACUCCUCGGCUGUUCCAGUUAAGCAGUGCUUCAGGAGAGUUUGUGGCAGUGGAAUUUGCGUAUCCAUCCAGAGAACCAAAUUUGGUCAACUCGAUGCCUUUCCUACAGGAGGAUUUGUAUACAGCUACUCAGCCAGCCCUGUUUUUGGUGGAUAAUCACCAUGAAGUUUACCUGUGGCAGGGCUGGUGGCCUCAGGACAGUGAGAGCACGGGAUCAGCUCGCAUACGAUGGGACUCUGAUAGGAAGUGUGCCAUGGAAACUGUACUCCAAUAUAGCAAAGAAAAAAAUGAGAAGAAAACUCCAAAAUCAUACCUGAUCCACGCAGGGCUUGAGCCUCUUACCUUCACUAACAUGUUUCCCAGCUGGGAACACAGAGAGGACAUUGCUGAGAUCACAGAGAAGGAGGCUGAAGUAUGUAAUCAGAUCAUUCUUGUUGAAGACGUCUUGACUAGACUCUGCAAGACCAUUUACCCAUUGGCUGAUAUACAAGCCCGUCCCCUACCAGAAGGUGUUGACCCUCUACGUCUUGAGAUCUACCUAUCAGAUGAGGACUUUGAGUCUUGCGUCUGACUGAGGUUAAUUUUUCCCUUCACAUGCCAGGGUGUAGGGGCUUCUGGGAAGAAAGCAUUGGAGAUGACAAGAAGUGAAUAUGAGGCACUGCCAGGAUGGAAGCAAGUGAAUGUGAAGAAAGCCAAAGGAUUGUUUUAAAGGAACUAGAGGAAAUCUGACUGCAUUGGAACUGCUGAUUGGGAUUGAAUUUGCAAGUGGAGACCUUCAUUCCUUUUGAUUAAGACGGGACAAGCGCAAGUGAAGAAGAUCUACCUGUGUCAAACCACACAGGCAGGUGAAAAGCAGCUGGUGGAAGAAGAAAAGACUGAGAUUGGCAAGGGUUUACCAGCCUCUUGUAGCACAUUUUUUCCCAUUUUCUUCUUUUUUUCUAUCAGUGAAUUAGUGAGAUUGUUUUUUUUUUUUUGUUGAAUGUUUUGAGUGCUUCCAGCUUGUUUUCCUCCCGUUUUUAUUGUUUUGCGUUGCUCUGUGUCCACAUGAAGCCAUUUACCAUCCAACAUGCACUGCCCAGUUUAACAUAAAAGCCUUUUAGUAAUUAUCUGAAUGCAAGAAAGCUCAAAAGAGCACUUUAUGUAAGUACGUUCAUAUCUGCUCUCAUAAAUGACCUCAAGAUGUGUUUAACCUUCCAGACAGAUGCUUGAACUUGAGAACCCUGCGUGUGUGUACAUGGGAGAGUGUAUAUCUAUACAGUGUGUGUGUCUCUUUGAAAAGGAUUGAAUGAAAUUGUGGAAUAAGAGAAAAUCUCUUUCUAUUAUGCGUUGUAUAGUGCCUUGCCUUCAUGUACAGUUUAUAUAAAGACAGAUGCUAGUCUGCAUUUUGAAGACAUAUUUGUGAUAUAAAUAAAUAUUGGUGCAAAUAAACACUGUAUAAUGUAGAUAAUAAA